CCUACGGGAGGCAGCAGUGAGGAAUAUUGGUCAAUGGCCGGAAGGCUGAACCAGCCAUGCCGCGUGAAGGUCAGUGCCCUAUGGGCGUUAAACUUCUUUUGUGCGGGAGCAAUAAUGGUCACGUGUGGCCAGACGAGAGUACCGUACGAAUAAGCAUCGGCUAACUCCGUGCCAGCAGCCGCGGUAAUACGGGGGAUGCAAGCGGUAUCCGGGUUUAUUGGGGUUAAAGGGUGCGUAGGCUGUGAGGUAAGUCAUCGGGGAAAUGCCCCCGCUCAACGGGGUGAAGUGCCAUUGAUACUGGCUUUCUGGAAUGCGGAUGCGGUGGGCGGAAUGUGUGGUGUAGCGGUGAAAUGCUUAGAUAUCACACAGAACACCGAUUGCGAAGGCAUCUCACGAAUCCGCGAUUGACGCUGAUGCACGAAAGCGUGGGUAUCAAACAGGAUUAGAUACCCGAGUAGUC
rnacentral:rRNA from 1 species